rnacentral:rRNA from 1 species
UACGUAGGGUCCGAGCGUUGUCCGGAAUUACUGGGCGUAAAGAGCUCGUAGGUGGUUUGUCGCGUUGUUCGUGAAAACUCACAGCUUAACUGUGGGCGUGCGGGCGGAUACGGGCAGACUUGAGUACUGCAGGGGAGACUGGAAUUCCUGGUGUAGCGGUGGAAUGCGCAGAUAUCAGGAAGAACACCCCGUGGCUAAGGCGGUUCUCUAGUACGGUACUGACGCUGGAGACGCGAAAAGCGUGGG